rfam:Paracoccidioides sp. &apos;lutzii&apos; Pb01 unplaced genomic scaffold supercont2.5, whole genome shotgun sequence.
GGCGCGAUGGCGGAGUGGUUAACGCGAGAGACUAGAAUGUGACGUGUGUCAAAGCUAAUCUCUUCUCUUCGGAGGCGUAGGUUCGAAUCCUGCUCGCGUCG